GACGAACGCUGGCGGCGUGCUUAACACAUGCAAGUCGAACGGAAAGGCCCUGCUUUUGUGGGGUGCUCGAGCGGCGAACGGGUGAGUAACACGUGAGUAACCUGCCCUUGACUUUGGGAUAACUUCAGGAAACUGGGGCUAAUACCGGAUAGGAGCUCCUGCUGCAUGGUGGGGGUUGGAAAGUUUCGGCGGUUGGGGCUGGACGCGCGGCUUAUCAGCUUGUUGGUGGGGUAGUGGCCUACCAAGGCUUUGACGGGUAGCCGGCCUGAGAGGGUGACCGGCCACAUUGGGACUGAGAUACGGCCCAGACUCCUACGGGAGGCAGCAGUGGGGAAUAUUGCACAAUGGGCGGAAGCCUGAUGCAGCAACGCCGCGUGCGGGAUGACGGCCUUCGGGUUGUAAACCGCUUUCGCCUGUGACGAAGCGUGAGUGACGGUAAUGGGUAAAGAAGCACCGGCUAACUACGUG
rnacentral:rRNA from 1 species